CAAAAGAAGCAGAGGGGGCUUAGUGGUGGGGUGACUGCGUACCUUUUGUAUAAUGGGUCAGCGACUUAUAUUCUGUAGCAAGGUUAACCGAAUAGGGGAGCCGGAGGGAAACCGAGUCUUAACCGGGCGUUAAGUUGCAGGGUAUAGACCCGAAACCCGGUGAUCUAGCCAUGGGCAGGUUGAAGGUUGGGUAACACUAACUGGAGGACCGAACCGACUAAUGUUGAAAAAUUAGCGGAUGACCUGUGGCUGGGGGUGAAAGGCCAAUCAAACCGGGAGAUAGCUGGUUCUCCCCGAAAGCUAUUUAGGUAGCGCCUCGUGAACUCAUCUCCGGGGGUAGAGCACUGUUUCGGCUAGGGGGCCAUCCCGGCUUACCAACCCGAUGCAAACUGCGAAUACCGGAGAAUGUUAUCACGGGAGACACACGGCGGGUGCUAACGUCCGUCGUGAAGAGGGAAACAACCCAGACCGCCAGCUAAGGUCCCAAAGUCAUGGUUAAGUGGGAAACGAUGUGGGAAGGCCCAGACAGCCAGGAUGUUGGCUUAGAAGCAGCCAUCAUUUAAAGAAAGCGUAAUAGCUCACUGGUCGAGUCGGCCUGCGCGGAAGAUGUAACGGGGCUAAACCAUGCACCGAAGCUGCGGCAGCGAACGUAUCACCCAAGACAACUUUACGGAGUUGACGAUUGACGGAGCGAAGCGACGUCAAAGCGUUCAUUAAAGUCGAGUUGGCUUAGGGAUACGUUCGUUGGGUAGGGGAGCGUUCUGUAAGCCUGUGAAGGUGGCCUGUGAGGGUUGCUGGAGGUAUCAGAAGUGCGAAUGCUGACAUAAGUAACGAUAAUGCGGGUGAAAAACCCGCACGCCGGAAGACCAAGGGUUCCUGUCCAACGUUAAUCGGGGCAGGGUGAGUCGACCCCUAAGGCGAGGCCGAAAGGCGUAGUCGAUGGGAAACAGGUUAAUAUUCCUGUACUUGGUGUUACUGCGAAGGGGGGACGGAGAAGGCUAUGUUAGCCGGGCGACGGUUGUCCCGGUUUAAGCAUGUAGGCGGAGGUUCCAGGUAAAUCCGGUACCUUAUUAACGCUGAGGUGUGAUGACGAGGCACUACGGUGCUGAAGUAACAAAUGCCCUGCUUCCAGGAAAAGCCUCUAAGCAUCAGGUAACAUCAAAUCGUACCCCAAACCGACACAGGUGGUCAGGUAGAGAAUACCAAGGCGCUUGAGAGAACUCGGGUGAAGGAACUAGGCAAAAUGGUGCCGUAACUUCGGGAGAAGGCACGCUGACACGUAGGUGAAGUGAUUUACUCAUGGAGCUGAAGUCAGUCGAAGAUACCAGCUGGCUGCAACUGUUUAUUAAAAACACAGCACUGUGCAAACACGAAAGUGGACGUAUACGGUGUGACGCCUGCCCGGUGCCGGAAGGUUAAUUGAUGGGGUCAGCGCAAGCGAAGCUCCUGAUCGAAGCCCCGGUAAACGGCGGCCGUAACUAUAACGGUCCUAAGGUAGCGAAAUUCCUUGUCGGGUAAGUUCCGACCUGCACGAAUGGCGUAAUGAUGGCCAGGCUGUCUCCACCCGAGACUCAGUGAAAUUGAACUCGCUGUGAAGAUGCAGUGUACCCGCGGCAAGACGGAAAGACCCCGUGAACCUUUACUAUAGCUUGACACUGAACAUUGAGCCUUGAUGUGUAGGAUAGGUGGGAGGCUUUGAAGUGUGGACGCCAGUCUGCAUGGAGCCGACCUUGAAAUACCACCCUUUAAUGUUUGAUGUUCUAACGUGGACCCGUAAUCCGGGUUGCGGACAGUGUCUGGUGGGUAGUUUGACUGGGGCGGUCUCCUCCUAAAGAGUAACGGAGGAGCACGAAGGUUGGCUAAUCCUGGUCGGACAUCAGGAGGUUAGUGCAAUGGCAUAAGCCAGCUUGACUGCGAGCGUGACGGCGCGAGCAGGUGCGAAAGCAGGUCAUAGUGAUCCGGUGGUUCUGAAUGGAAGGGCCAUCGCUCAACGGAUAAAAGGUACUCCGGGGAUAACAGGCUGAUACCGCCCAAGAGUUCAUAUCGACGGCGGUGUUUGGCACCUCGAUGUCGGCUCAUCACAUCCUGGGGCUGAAGUAGGUCCCAAGGGUAUGGCUGUUCGCCAUUUAAAGUGGUACGCGAGCUGGGUUUAGAACGUCGUGAGACAGUUCGGUCCCUAUCUGCCGUGGGCGCUGGAGAACUGAGGGGGGCUGCUCCUAGUACGAGAGGACCGGAGUGGACGCAUCACUGGUGUUCGGGUUGUCAUGCCAAUGGCACUGCCCGGUAGCUAAAUGCGGAAGAGAUAAGUGCUGAAAGCAUCUAAGCACGAAACUUGCCCCGA
rnacentral:rRNA from 1 species